ACGGUUUGCGAAUGCAGACGAAACGGUGGACGGGAGUGUAGAGGUGCAAUGGGGGCAAGGUUGUGUCUACAUGCAGUGUGGAGCUGCAGGGUGGUAAUCGAGGGGGUCAGCGGCGCAAAAUCCAAAAAUCCAAUAAUCAGUUGAUAAUGGUAUCGUACUUUAUCGCCUGUGUUUCCCACAGCGUGUACUUAAGCUUCGGAUUUAUCUGCAAGGAUGGAUCGGUUAGUUGGUGAUCCGACUGCUGAUCCUUCAAAACGCCAAAAGGUUGGGGGGCCAAAAGUGGACGGUAUCUUAGGCGGAAAAACGGCUGCGUAAAGGAAGAAAAUGUAUGGGUAGAGAUACUGAUUGCCUUUAAGAUUGGUCAGCAGAGAGAAAAAAGAAUAAACUCCAGUAACUGAACAAGGCGUCUGUCAUGUAGGUCGGCACAUUCACUAUUAUGCUAGAGGACGUUUUAGAGGCACGGAUAAAUAUCUGGUAUCUUCAAUACUGAAUAUUUCAAACGUGGACGUAACAAACUGGGGCCGGCAAGAAUGGAAGACGGUUGCCAGCAAGUAAACUGGACUGUACUGUACCUGUCACGAGUCGAGUCAAUAGAGUGCGGCCUAGUGCUUACCAUAGAAAACCAAACGACGCCGUAUUGCGCAUCAACACGCUGAUCGACAGACCAGCAGACGCCGCCUCAGUUAUUCGGCUACUACCGUAUCGCAAAUGCAGCCCUAUCCAACUGAAGGGGAAAAGUUAUACACAACUUAGCAUAAAGCAGUAUAGACAUUAGUGUCAGCAAGAAGGGACGCCGAUGGCUUCCAAGCGGUCGGGAGAAAAACGAUGGUCGUUGGUGUAAGAGGCAGAUAAGAUUCGAAAAUCGGCGACUAUCCGGCAAAGAACCAAUGAAGAGCGUUCGGACAAAGCCCACGACUUACGGGUAACAGUGCUAACUUAUCUAAGAAGUUUUUUUUUUUUCUCAGUUUCAUAUCCUAUUUAUACGGCCUGAGCUCUUAGAAAUGUACAACCUCCGCCACAUUUACUUCUGCUCCGCGUUCAUUCUAUCUCUAUCGACACGAACAGACUUUGCCUCUACCCAGAUUGUCGUGAUUUGUACUCUCAUUGACGCGCGAGAACUGCGAAGCAAUGCGAGCUUUAGGGGUAGCCGUCUCUCCAUUUGAAUGGAUCUCUUGACGCCCCUAGUGGUUUCUGCGUCUCCCUGGUCCGUAGAUGAUAGUCCAGCUGCUGUCCGAUCCAAAGACAAGUACUCCUGUGUGGGUCAGAGUUUACAACGGAAAUCGGAAUAAAUUGAGCAGCGGCGUUGCUGCUGUCUUCCACGAGAGUACGAAUAUUCAACGGGUAAAUACGUAGCCAAGAGAGCACGUCGUUGCGGUGGGACAUACACGACCUUCCUCCCGUUAUUCUCUCUGCACGUCUUGACUAACUCUAUGUUCGCGGCGUGCCACAUCGUGUUGGGAACAAAUGGAAUGAAAAAUCACACUCACGAGGUAAGAGACGACGGGCGGUAGGGUCGCAGGAGAUUUGGGUACAAGCUAAUUCUAGCUUUGAGCAGAGUAGAACGUUUCGAGGCAUUCCGGAUCACUCCGGGACUUAGCUCUUCCCUAGCAGCUCUGAUCCUUGCUCCGCAAAAGUUUUCGUGACAGCGUCGAACAGAUAGGGAUGGAAAAGGAAAAGCCAAACAUGGACGAGAAGGCAAAACGCGCACAGCAAGGGGCCUAUCAGAGCCAACCGUUGGGCUCGGGGGUCCACUACAUAUAAUACAGCGGCGGAAAAUUACUUCAAAGGGGCUCCAGCUUCAUCUUUUUCUUCAGGUAGAAAAAGAAAGAAAACGAAAAAACCUAGAAAACGGUGACGUUCUACAGAUCGAAGCAUUACAUUAAAAGAAAACGAGGAGGAAUCUGAGCUGUUGGAGCCAGUGAGUACCUCGUGGGCCGCUGGAGUCCACGGUGGAACGAGUCGCAGCAACGACUUCAACUCACGCUCAACUACCUAUCAGCCCUAUUAUAAUGCAGCCUUCUCAUCGCAUUCUAUACUCCCUUUAUCCUUCACAUUCCCUGCUUUCACGUGCCUCCCUGUCGUUGCCGGAAUUCUUAGUAUCGACUUGCCGUCAGAAAAUGAGAAGAAGAAGAAGUGGCUCCUUUGUCAACUUGGUUCAUGCUCAUCACGAACUUCUUGCUGGAGUCUUUACCUUGCUGCGGCUGCUGGCGGUAGCGACACCUAUCUGUUCGCCAUGGUGGUUGUAGUCGAUUUAUCGCUGAUACCACUGCCCCUGAAUCAAACUGGACGCGUUGGUGGCUGCAAGCCUACCUAGAUGAAAGGGGCUACAGCGUAGCAACACUGAAGCACCCUUUCGAGCAAGGCUUGGAUUUGGCAAUAUACAGAUAGAGGUGACAAUGGAAGUAAGGCGUUGCGAUUAACAAGAGACGAUGUGCACAUGCACACAGAUGCACAACCCACUUGUAACUAUGUGGAGUGACAUACCCACUCAGGUUGGAUCUAUGAUGAUUUGAAGGAAAGGAACUGCCCAUUUAACGGCCGACCAAUACUGACGGAAGCUGCCCCUUGUGCCUUUUAUUAUCCCGAAAUAUGCAAAACAGCGCGAGAAGUUCUCGCUCUAAUCUCGUUUCUCACGUAGCUGCACCGGGGCUGAUGCCCCCGACAAACGAGUGUGCCCGUAACCGUAUCAUAAUCAAGCAUGAUCUCGGACUUAAGCG